GAUGAACGCUGGCGGCGUGCCUAAUACAUGCAAGUCGAGCGAACGGACGAGAAGCUUGCUUCUCUGAUGUUAGCGGCGGACGGGUGAGUAACACGUGGAUAACCUACCUAUAAGACUGGGAUAACUUCGGGAAACCGGAGCUAAUACCGGAUAAUAUUUUGAACCGCAUGGUUCAAAAGUGAAAGACGGUCUUGCUGUCACUUAUAGAUGGAUCCGCGCUGCAUUAGCUAGUUGGUAAGGUAACGGCUUACCAAGGCAACGAUGCAUAGCCGACCUGAGAGGGUGGUCGGCCACACUGGAACUGAGACACGGUCCAGACUCCUACGAGGGGCAGCAGUCGGGAAUCUUCCGCAAUGCGCGAAAGCCUGACGGAGCAACGCCGCGUGAGUGAUGAAGGUCUUCGGAUCGUAAAACUCUGUUAUUAGGGAAGAACAUAUGUGUAAGUAACUGUGCACAUCUUGACGGUACCUAAUCAGAAAGCCACGGCUAACUACGUG
rnacentral:rRNA from 1 species